rnacentral:rRNA from 1 species
ACAAGCAGCGGAGCGUGUGGUUAAUUCGAUGUUACACGAAGAACCUUACCAGGGUUUGACAUGCAAGUGGUAGGAAGCCGAAAGGUGACCGACCCUUCGGGGAGCUUGCACAGGUGCUGCAUGGCUGUCGUCAGCUCGUGUCGUGAGAUGUUCGGUUAAGUCCGCUAACGAGCGCAACCCUCGCUGUGUGUUAUAUGUGUCACACGGGACUGCCGGUCUUAAGCCGGAGGAAGGUGGGGAUGAUGUCAAGUCAGCAUGGCCUUUAUAUCCUGGGCUACACACACGCUGCAAUGGCCAACACAAUAGGUUGCUAAGCCGCGAGGUGGCGCCAAUCCAUAAAGUUGGUCUCAGUUCAGAUUGUAGGCUGCAACCCGCCUGCAUGAAGAUGGAGUUGCUAGUAACCGCAGGUCAGCUAUACUGCGGUGAAUACGUUCCCGGGGCUU